UACGGGGGGGGCAAGCGUUGUUCGGAAUUACUGGGCGUAAAGGGCUCGUAGGCGGCCAACUAAGUCAGACGUGAAAUCCCUCGGCUUAACCGGGGAACUGCGUCUGAUGCUGGAUGGCUUGAGUUUGGGAGAGGGAUGCGGAAUUCCAGGUGUAGCGGUGAAAUGCGUAGAUAUCUGGAGGAACACCGAUGGCGAAGGCAGCCCCCUGGGCCAAUACUGACGCUCAUGCACGAAAGCGUGGGGAGCAAACAGG
rnacentral:rRNA from 1 species